GACGAACGCUGGCGGCGUGCUUAACACAUGCAAGUCGAACGGAAAGGCCCUGCUUUUGUGGGGUGCUCGAGUGGCGAACGGGUGAGUAACACGUGAGUAACCUGCCCUUGACUUUGGGAUAACUUCAGGAAACUGGGGCUAAUACCGGAUAGGAGCUCCUGCUGCAUGGUGGGGGUUGGAAAGUUUCGGCGGUUGGAGAUGGACUCGCGGCUUAUCAGCUUGUUGGUGGGGUAGUGGCUUACCAAGGCUUUGACGGGUAGCCGGCCUGAGAGGGUGACCGGCCACAUUGGGACUGAGAUACGGCCCAGACUCCUACGGGAGGCAGCAGUGGGGAAUAUUGCACAAUGGGCGGAAGCCUGAUGCAGCAACGCCGCGUGCGGGAUGACGGCCUUCGGGUUGUAAACCGCUUUCGCCUGUGACGAAACGUGAGUGACGGUAAUGGGUAAAGAAGCACCGGCUAACUACGUG
rnacentral:rRNA from 1 species